GAGGCAAAGCCCUGUUUUCUUGCCUCUCCUUCCUACAGGCUCCUGGCUGGCCAGGCCAGCUCCCAACCUCUUCUCUCUGUGUCCUUCAGUACUGCCUAGAGUGUAGACCUGCAGAGAGAAAGAGGCAUCGCCACCUCUUGGCCUACACUAUUAUUGCAUGCCCAAGCCCAGAAAGGAAGGAAACAACAUUUUAAAGCUGGGUUGUUGUACCCUAGGCUGUUAGCAGGCAGGACAGCUGUGUUUGAGGAGGACACCAUCUCUGGGCUUCAAAUUUCUCAUUUUAAAAUCAACACUGUUAUCCUUGCUCAUCGAGCCACCCUGUUGAAUUCUUCGUGUUCAGUGGAGCAUACAUGGAGGACGGGAGAGCUUCUUCCUCAUGAAUCCACAGGAUGGAGGCUCAUGGAUUCCCAGCUGGCCUCAAACUCCCUAUGUAGUUAAGAGUGACCUUGAACUUCGGAUGCUCCUGCAGCUGCAGCUGCACCUGCCUACUAGGACUACAGGUGUGACAGUCAUGACCAACCUAUUGUGGUACUCGGAAUGGAACCUAGGGCCUCAUGGUGCUAGGGCCCCAGCUAACCAGACUGACUAAUGAGUCAUCUUCCCGUCAUCGUGAGAGCCACUGUGGUACACCAGCAUCUCCAAGACCGUUUAGGAAGCUGAUUCAAGGUGAAGCAGCAAUGGUAGAGGUCACAACUGAUCAGAGGCCAUAUCGCCUGGAAAUGGAGUUGCAGGUGACUGUUAGGUACCAUGUGGGUUCUAGGAACCAAACUCUGUCCCCUGCAAAAGGCCCUCGCUGCCUGUGCACACGGAUCCAAGAGUUCACCCAACCCUUGCACCAUGGUGCCUCAGAGAGAAAGGUGACAGAUGCUCUAAUGCUCGCUGGUGAGCUACCAUGGGAAUCUAGCCUCCAAAGGACUACAGAAAGAAGCUGGGGGUGGCAGUGUAUGACUGUAACCUGAGCAUCCAGAGGCUGAUGCCACCCUGCACUACACAGUGAAAUGCUGUCUCAUAUACAUUAUUUAAAAAUAUUUAAUUAUUUAAAAAUAAAAGACCCUUUGAGAGGACACUUCGUGGUCACUCACAAAGUAAAGACCCUACGUCCAGACUGCAGGCCUAUUUGUUUCACUCCGAAACAAAAUUGAAAGAAAACCCUUCAAACUGCAUGUGUGAACUCACACCUAUGACCCCAGCACUGGGAAGAUAAAAACUGGAGGCUCGUCCCAUCAUGGUCAUCCUCGGCUACACAGUAAGUUGGAGUUUCUCCCACCCAGCUUCUUGCCUGAGCAGUGUGUGGAGGUGAAGGAAGAAAAAGCUACACAGGCCUUGAAAUAUCUCUCUCUGCAAGGAAGAGCCAGGAGAGUAUCGGGGCCCAGGCAAACUUCCUCCAGGCGCCACCCAAGCCAGCAGCGCAGAAGAGGUGCACUUGCAGGCCAAACCUUUGAGAACUCCUCCUGCUGACGCCAAGCUGCACAGGAUGCCAAGAGAGCAGCAGUGCAAACAGAAACCGCGGUGCAGAUCCCUUCGUGAAAACCCAUUCGGCAGUCUGGCAAGCAGCCCUGCCCUCUGCUACUUUAUUCCCUCGAUUCAUUGACGUAGAUUCUUUCAUAUCAUAACAGCAGCUGGCCAAACCCAGCUGGAAUGUUUGGUAGCCUUCACCUCCUUCUUUUCAGGGUGAAGGUUGGAAAGAAUCCUCUCAAAGAAGACCCACAAUGCACUGCAGUAGGAAGGCUAAUAGGCCCGCUCUACCCCCACGCUGGAUGCACUUCCUCUUCCUAGCUCUAGGGGCGCCACAGCCAUGAAGCUGCGCUGCUUUGUCCCGCUGGGGAGCAUGCUGGUUGCAGGGCAAGGGCUGCUGCUUGGUAACCACCCCCACCUCACAUAUGCGAGGUUGAUGCGCCUAAGGAGUGCUGGGAUUUCACUAUGGUUUAUCCCUGAACUCAUCCUGAAGUGAAGCACUGUGACAUAUUAGGAGGGUAGACAUUUAAUCCAACUGUGGAAUUUACAGGAAGGGCUUUGGAAGGGUGAAUAAGUGAAUCCUGGCGGCUUUGUAGAUAGAAGAUGGGCCCGUGAGAUGGUUCAGCAGGUAAAGGCUUGCGGCCAAGCCUGACAACUUGAGUUUCAUCCAGGGACCAAUAUGGUAGAAGCAGAAAAACAACUCCAGCAAAUUGUCUUCUGGCCGCCAUACAAACACCUCAGCAUAUGCAUGCCCACACAGAAAUAAAUCAAAUAAAAAAAUUUUUAAUUAAAAAUAAGAAUAAAAGGAGGAGAAGCAAGGUGUGGUGGCACAUGCCUGUAAGCCCAGCAGAGGCAGGAACGUUGCUGAAGGCUUUUGCCUGGUCUGCACAAGGAGUUCCAGGCCAGCCUCAGCUACACACACACACACACACACACACACACGUGCACUUUCUGUCUCUUCCCAUGCAAUGUUAUGUGACGCCUCACAACUGUCAGCAAGGUCAUCACCAUGGCCAGAUAUAGUGACGAAUGCCUGUAAUUUCAGACAUCUCUCCACCUGAGGGUAGAAGCAGGAGGGUCAGGGAUUCAAAGCAAUUUCAAGGCUAGCCUAGGCUACUUAAGAACCUGUUUCUAAAAAAAAAAGAAAAGAAAAGAAAUAUAUAAUUACCAGAUAUAACACUUUGGCCUUGCCCUCUCCGACUCACAAAUCAAAUUUAACCUCUUUUCAUUAUAAA